GACAUUUUGGCCGAGUGGUUAAGGCGUUGCCCUGCUAUGUUCAUAAUUAGUGAGGCAAUGGGUUCGCCCGCACAGGUUCGAUCCCUGUAGAUGUCG